rnacentral:rRNA from 1 species
AUUGAACGCUGGCGGCAGGCCUAACACAUGCAAGUCGAGCGGCAGCGGAAAGUAGCUUGCUACUUUGCCGGCGAGCGGCGGACGGGUGAGUAAUGUCUGGGAAACUGCCUGAUGGAGGGGGAUAACUACUGGAAACGGUAGCUAAUACCGCAUGACCUCGAAAGAGCAAAGUGGGGGAUCUUCGGACCUCACGCCAUCGGAUGUGCCCAGAUGGGAUUAGCUAGUAGGUGAGGUAAUGGCUCACCUAGGCGACGAUCCCUAGCUGGUCUGAGAGGAUGACCAGCCACACUGGAACUGAGACACGGUCCAGACUCCUACGGGAGGCAGCAGUGGGGAAUAUUGCACAAUGGGCGCAAGCCUGAUGCAGCCAUGCCGCGUGUGUGAAGAGGGCCUUAGGGUUGUAAAGCACUUUCAGCGAGGAGGAAGGCAUCAUACUUAAUACGUGUGGUGAUUGACGUUACUCGCAGAAGAAGCACCGGCUAACUCCGUGCCAGCAGCCGCGGUAAUACGGAGGGUGCAAGCGUUAAUCGGAAUUACUGGGCGUAAAGCGCACGCAGGCGGUUUGUUAAGUCAGAUGUGAAAUCCCCGCGCUUAACGUGGGAACUGCAUUUGAAACUGGCAAGCUAGAGUCUUGUAGAGGGGGGUAGAAUUCCAGGUGUAGCGGUGAAAUGCGUAGAGAUCUGGAGGAAUACCGGUGGCGAAGGCGGCCCCCUGGACAAAGACUGACGCUCAGGUGCGAAAGCGUGGGGAGCAAACAGG